CACUAUCGGAUCGUUUUAGAAACAUCAGUGGCCAACGGUCGUCAGGAUCGUUGAGCUGCAUUGGCGGGAUUUCGCCGUCUACGUUUCUCUUUCUUCGCGGACGAACACGCGCUGGGCCUGCAUGCGCAGGAUCCCAUGGUCCUUAACGGGAUAUGCGUUAGGGGCUUGUAGCUCAGUUGGUUAGAGCGCGCGCUUGAUAAGCGUGAGGUCGGAAGUUCAAGUCUUCCCAGGCCCACCACACUCAUCGAGUGAGCAUUCGUCUUCUGGUUACGGGGCCAUAGCUCAGCUGGGAGAGCGCGUGCUUUGCAAGCAUGAGGUCGUCGGUUCGAUCCCGUCUGGCUCCACCAGAUGGUUUGAUCACCGAGAUCUUGUACCGUCGUCCGCGAAACAUCACUUCGCAUCCUGCUAGUCUGGAUAGACAGCAAGUUGCGUGAUUUCUGACAUCGUAAAGAGGAGAUCGAUCCGAGUUGGAUCGGGCAACAAGUAAUUGUUGCGCGAUACUUCAUUAUCUCCGGAUCAUUUCGGCGCUCACGCGUCUUUCAAGGUAGCUCACAAGGUUGCAUUUGAGAGACAUGCGAGUUGUAAAUGAUCCUUUUAGCGAAGCUUGACCGCCUCGCUAUCGGAACGAUCUUACGAAGCAAGCUGGUCUUUCUAAUCAUUGUCCGGCUGUGAGAAUAGCGUUCAUCGAGGGCGCGUGCCGCAAGGUAGUUCUUACAGACAACAUUCUGCCGAGUGUGUGGACAUUGAUAAUGAGAGCAAUCAAGUGCCUUAAGGGUGUUCGGUGGAUGCCUUGGCGCUGAGAGGCGAUGAAGGACGUGCUACGCUGCGAUAAGCCGUGGGGA
rnacentral:misc_RNA from 1 species